rnacentral:rRNA from 1 species
UGCAGUCGAACGCCCUCUUCGGAGGGAGUGGCAGACGGGUGAGUAACGCGUGGGAACCUACCUUUUGGUUCGGAAUAACCCAGGGAAACUUGGGCUAAUACCGGAUGUGUCCCCCUUCUUGGCUGAGGGGUGGAGAAAGAUUUAUCGCCAAAAGAUGGGCCCGCGUCGGAUUAGCUAGUUGGUGGGGUAACGGCCUACCAAGGCGACGAUCCGUAGCUGGUCUGAGAGGAUGAUCAGCCACACUGGGACUGAGACACGGCCCAGACUCCUACGGGAGGCAGCAGUGGGGAAUAUUGGACAAUGGGCGCAAGCCUGAUCCAGCCAUGCCGCGUGAGUGAUGAAGGCCUUAGGGUUGUAAAGCUCUUUCGCCGGUGAAGAUAAUGACGGUAACCGGAGAAGAAGCCCCGGCUAACUUCGUGCCAGCAGCCGCGGUAAUACGAAGGGGGCUAGCGUUGUUCGGAAUUACUGGGCGUAAAGCGCACGUAGGCGGAUAUUUAAGUCGGGGGUGAAAUCCCAGGGCUCAACCCUGGAACUGCCUCCGAUACUGGGUAUCUCGAGUCCGAGAGAGGUGAGUGGAAUUCCGAGUGUAGAGGUGAAAUUCGUAGAUAUUCGGAAGAACACCAGUGGCGAAGGCGGCUCACUGGCUCGGAACUGACGCUGAGGUGCGAAAGCGUGGGGAGCAAACAGG